rnacentral:rRNA from 1 species
AGGUUACUGCUAUUGGUGUUCGACUAAGCCAUGCAAGUCAUAUGUUCCUCGUGAACAUGGCAUACUGCUCAGUAACACGUGGAUAACCUGCCCUUGGGUCCGGGAUAACCCCGGGAAACUGGGGAUAAUACCGGAUAACGCAUAUGUGCUGGAAUGCUUUAUGCGUAAAACGGAUUCGUCCGCCCAAGGAUGGGUCUGCGGCCUAUCAGGUAGUAGUGGGUGUAAUGUACCUACUAGCCAACGACGGGUACGGGUUGUGAGAGCAAGAGCCCGGAGAUGGAUUCUGAGACAUGAAUCCAGGCCCUACGGGGCGCAGCAGGCGCGAAAACUUUACAAUGCGGGAAACCGUGAUAAGGGAACACCGAGUGCCAGCAUCAUUUGCUGGCUGUCCAGAUGUGUAAACUACAUCUGUUAGCAAGGGCCGGGCAAGACCGGUGCCAGCCGCCGCGGUAACACCCGGCGGCCCAAGUGGUGACCGUUAUUAUUGGGUCUAAAGGGUCCGUAGCCCGGUUUGGUCAGUCCUCCGGGAAAUCUGAUAGCUCAACUAUCAGACUUUCGGGGGAUACUGCCAGGCUUGGAACCGGGAGAGGUAAGAAGUACUACAGGGGUAGGAGUGAAAUCUUUGUAAUCCUGUGAGACCACCUGUGGCGAAAGGCGUCUUACCA